CCCUGGUAGUUCAGGGAAGCUUGG
rnacentral:piRNA from 1 species